UUGCCAGCCUAUGGUUACGGCACAGUGUUUCCAUGGCUACAAGGCAGGAGUGGCCUUCACCCCAGCGUCUGUGUUUUGGGAAACUUCUUGGCUGGCCUGUUUGUCUCUCUUGCAGCUGGCUUUCACGUGCACAAGAUAUGGGUUUGCUAUCUCAUGUUGUUGUACACUGUAUGCUUUCCCUAUGCGCAAGAAUGUAACCAGUUAGAAGUGUUGUAAGCAGAGAGGUUUUUCGGCUUGAGGCUUUUAAGGCUUUCUGGCUACCACAGACCUGGCGUUCUGUUUCCUUUCCUCUGUCGUCGCCACAGCUGGUGACCCCGACGUGAUAACCCCCUGCUCACCGGCUGGACAUGCCGAGUGCACCCCCGCGGCCGUUUGCCACCCCUGAUUCGUAGAGAAGUGCUACCCAAAGACCCUAGCAGCCCUGCCAUUCAUUGAAACCAGGAGACUGAGUCUAUGUAAAGUCCAUCAACGAAAGACUGCUUUGGCUCCAUGCUGGAAAGGCCCUUUCCAAGUCCUGUUAACCACCAACACCGCUGUGAAGUGCCAAGGACUACCUGCCUGGACCCAUGCUUCUCACUGUAAAAAGACCCCUCCACCUCGGGAGGACUCUCCGACUGAUGAUAAGCCUAUUUUUCCUUCUAGCUCUGCUGUGUCUUCUGGACAGCAGGAAAAAGGAAAAAAACAAGGUGAAGUGCUAGUAACCUCUCCCUUGUCCACUGACAGACCUACUGUGCCUUCGGAUUUUUCUAGAAGAAGCAAAACCAUUACAGGGUGAUGUGCUAGUAACCUCUCCCCUGUAUGAUGCUAAACCACACUGUUUCAGGAAAAGAGAAGAAGGAACACUUGCUUCAUUGAAACCACAAAGUCCAGGGAUUCCUGACUACAAGAGACAUUAAGAACUGACCCUGGUGAAGAAACAAAGAAUUAUACACUAGCAGGAAGAAACUUGUGGAACCCAUUCUUGGGAACGUGGUAUUGAUUAGAUUUUGGGGUUUAUUCUACAGGCUGCGCCCUGUGUUUUGGAUAAGUCCUUCAGCAUGUAUUGCCCUCCCUAAUUGGAUUUUAAAUGAUAAGUACCAGAGGCACCUUGUUGCCAUUGCCCCUGCCAUCUCCUCUAUUACACUAUUACCCCUGUAAUACAUCCAAAUACAGACAAUGCCAUAUAUUUGAUAAAAUCAAUGAGAGAGGCCCUUAUUGUUAUUUGGUCACCCAAUUAGUGAACAAUUAAAUGAAUACCCAAAUUGCUCACAGGGGGCUGCCAUUAGAUUAGCAUAACAGAGGGCUUGGGUUAUUUCUUCUAGAAAGAAGAAAGACUUGACCGGAUCCUUAUGGGAUGGGGCCAAUAGUGCAGCAGCAGUUUGGAAUAUUUUUAAGAACCAAGAAUAUGAUGAGAAAUUGGGGCAAUUAGAGAAGACCAUUGGCCUUGUUUCUGGAGUACAAUUAACCCAGAUACAGGCUGGAGUUGGUGAGUUACAUGUCAUUUCCGCCCUUAGUUCAAUGACCCAGAAGUUGCUGACAGAGAUGGUAUUGAAUAUCACUGAGGCUGGGAAGGUAUUGCAGUGGGAUCUAGCAUGUUCAGAAAUUCAGGAUUUCCGGAAUGACUAGCUAAUGGCCAUUCAAAAUGAUCUAGAGCAUCAGGCUUGGCCCACUGCCCUUACAAACUCAUCAGGAUUACCAUCUGAUCUGUGGCCAUGGAGACAUACUUGGAGACUUUCUGGGUAGAAGUGCAGACGUUCUCAGUGCUCGUUCCAAGCAUAUGGACCGGUUAAGGGGGGUGUGGGAUCCCACAUACCGUAUCCUGCCGGGUCCAUGGGGAGGAUGCAUGUGGGAUUGGGUAAUUCACCAAGACAUCUGGGUUUACCUGGCACAAGUAUUAAAUCAAUCUGAUUUCUGCCUGGCCGUUGCCCCGGACAUGCAAGGUCUGUUAAGUACCUGCCUUGUUCCUGUCUGCAAACCACCCAGCAACAUCUGGGGUGUGAGACAGUAAAAGAAAUGUGUUGUUUUAAGCUUACUGAUAAUAGUAAUUGCAUGCAAUAGCAAAUUGAUAUGCUGAAAUGUUAUGCUUAAGCCAUUUGCCAGAAUGUUUUUCCUUUUUAGUGAAAUUAUAUUUAGUCAUGGUUACCCUUAGGGUGGAUAAAAACCCUCUUAUAGUAUGGGGUUUUAGUUUUAGUCCUUAGUGUUUUAUUUUGCUGCUUUGUUUAGUGUAUACCCAAUCUAGUGGCAUUGUGCAUGCUACCCUGCGAGGGUGCUCCGUUUAAACACCGCAUCUAAAAUAGAAAAGGGGGGGAUGUAGGAAUGCAUAGCUCCCAAAUUGCCAGCCCAUGGUUACGGAACAAUGUUUCCAUGGCUACAAGGCAGGAGUGGCCUUCACCCCAGCGUCUGUGUUUUGGGAAACUUCUUGGCUGGCCUGUUUGUCUCCCUCGCAGCUGGCUUUCACGUGCACAAGAUAUGGGUUUGCUAUCUCAUGUUGUUGUACACUGUAUGCUUUCCCUAUGCGCAAGAAUGUAACCAGUUAGAAGUGUUGUAAGCAGAGAGGUUUUUCGGCUUGAGGCUUUUAAGGCUUUCUGGCUACCACA